AUGAACGCUGGCGGCGUGCCUAAUACAUGCAAGUCGAGCGAACAGACGAGGAGCUUGCUCCUCUGACGUUAGCGGCGGACGGGUGAGUAACACGUGGAUAACCUACCUAUAAGACUGGGAUAACUUCGGGAAACCGGAGCUAAUACCGGAUAAUAUAUUGAACCGCAUGGUUCAAUAGUGAAAGACGGUUUUGCUGUCACUUAUAGAUGGAUCCGCGCCGCAUUAGCUAGUUGGUAAGGUAACGGCUUACCAAGGCGACGAUGCGUAGCCGACCUGAGAGGGUGAUCGGCAUCACUGGAACUGAGACACGGUCCAGACUCCUACGGGAGGCAGCAGUAGGGAAUCUUCCGCAAUGGGCGAAAGCCUGACGGAGCAACGCCGCGUGAGUGAUGAAGGUCUUCGGAUCGUAAAACUCUGUUAUUAGGGAAGAACAAAUGUGUAAGUAACUAUGCACGUCUUGACGGUACCUAAUCAGAAAGCCACGGCUAACUACGUG
rnacentral:rRNA from 1 species